CCCUUAGAUGUCCUGGGCCGCACGCGCGCUACACUGACGGAGGCAGCGAGCUUACCCCUUUGCCGAAAGGCAUGGGAAAUCUUUUGAAUCUCCGUCGUGCUGGGGAUAGAUCAUUGCAAUUAUUGAUCUUGAACGAGGAAUUCCUAGUAAGCGCAAGUCAUCAACUUGCGUUGAUUACGUCCCUGCCCUUUGUACACACCGCCCGUCGCUCCUACCGAUUGAGUGGUCCGGUGAGGCUUUGGGAUCUGAGCGGAAAGAGCGUUUCGCUGUUUCUGCUCGGAAAACUCAGUCGAACCUUAUCAUUUAGAGGAAGGAGAAGUCGUAACA
rnacentral:rRNA from 1 species